rnacentral:rRNA from 1 species
GCGAAAGCCUGAUCCAGCAAUACCGCGUGUGUGAAGAAGGCCUUAGGGUUGUAAAGCACUUUCAAUUGGAAGGAAAAAUUCGUGGCUAAUAUCUACGAACUUGACAUUACCUUUAGAAGAAGCACCGGCUAACUCCGUGCCAGCAGCCGCGGUAAUACGGAGGGUGCAAGCGUUAAUCGGAAUUACUGGGCGUAAAGCGUGCGUAGGCGGCUCGUUAAGUCAGAUGUGAAAGCCCUGGGCUCAACCUGGGAACUGCAUUUGAAACUGGCGAGCUAGAGUUUGAGAGAGGUAAGUGGAAUUUCAGGUGUAGCGGUGAAAUGCGUAGAGAUCUGAAGGAACACCAGUGGCGAAGGCGACUUACUGGCUUAAAACUGACGCUGAGGUAC